CCUACGGGAGGCUGCAGUGAGGGAUAUUGGUCAAUGGGGGAAACCCUGAACCAGCAACGCCGCGUGAGGGAAGACGGUUUUCGGAUUGUAAACCACUGUCCCCAGGGACGAAGAUGACGGUACCUGGGGAGGAAGCUCCGGCUAACUACGUGCCAGCAGCCGCGGUAAUACGUAGGGAGCAAGCGUUGUCCGGAAUUACUGGGUGUAAAGGGAGCGUAGGCGGGAUGAAAAGUUGGGGGUUAAAUCUCCCGGCUAAACGGGUAGUCGCCCUGAAAACUGCUAUUCUUGAGUGAAGUAGAGGCAGGCGGAAUUCCUAGUGUAGCGGUGAAAUGCGUAGAUAUUAGGAGGAACACCAGUGGCGAAGGCGGCCUGCUGGGCUUUUACUGACGUUGAGGCUCGAAAGUGUGGGGAGCAAACAGGAUUAGAUACCCGAGUAGUC
rnacentral:rRNA from 1 species